rnacentral:ncRNA from 1 species
AUCAGUUAGGAAAGACUCAUAUAGUGGUGAUAAUAUGGUUCACCAGUCUCUACCAGAUAACCACAAAAUAUCUGACUAUGAGGUACUUAUUGU